rnacentral:rRNA from 1 species
GAGUUUGAAUCUGGCUCAGAUUGAACGCUGGCGGCAGGCCUAACACAUGCAAGUCGAGCGGUAACAGGGGUAGCUUGCUACCCGCUGACGAGCGGCGGACGGGUGAGUAACGCAUAGGAAUUUACCCGGUAGUGGGGGAUAACCUGGGGAAACCCAGGCUAAUACCGCAUACGUCCUACGGGAGAAAGGGGGCUUUGGCUCCCGCUAUCGGAUGAGCCUAUGCCGGAUUAGCUAGUUGGUGAGGUAAUGGCUCACCAAGGCGACGAUCCGUAGCUGGUCUGAGAGGAUGAUCAGCCACAUCGGGACUGAGACACGGCCCGAACUCCUACGGGAGGCAGCAGUGGGGAAUAUUGGACAAUGGGGCAACCCUGAU